rnacentral:misc_RNA from 1 species
UCUCCGUUGGUGAACCAGCGGAGGGAUCAUUACAGGAUCGAAAGACUCCUAUAACCCCUGUGAACUUACUACAAAUACGUUGCUUCGGCGGGUGCCCCGGGUCUCCCGGGGCGUUCAGCCCGCCGGCAGCCUUCAAAUUCUGUUUCUUUGCGUUGGCAUCUCGAGUAUACAAAAAUAAGUUAAAACUUUCAACAACGGAUCUCUUGGUUCUGGCUUCGAUGAAGAACGCAGC